UACGUAGGGGGCUAGCGUUGUCCGGAAUCAUUGGGCGUAAAGAGCGUGUAGGCGGUCCGGUAAGUCCGUUGUGAAAGUCAGGGGCUCAACCCUUGAAUGCCGGCGGAUACUGUCGGGCUAGAGUCCGGAAGAGGCGAGUGGAAUUCCCGGUGUAGCGGUGAAAUGCGCAGAUAUCGGGAGGACACCUAUGGCGAAGGCAGCUCGCUGGGACGGUACUGACGCUGAGACGCGAAAGCGUGGGGAGCAAACAGG
rnacentral:rRNA from 1 species